rnacentral:rRNA from 1 species
UACGUAGGGGGCAAGCGUUGUCCGGAUUCAUUGGGCGUAAAGAGCUCGUAGGCGGCUUGGCAAGUCGGGUGUGAAAACUUCAGGCUCAACCUGGAGCGGCCACUCGAUACUGCCAUGGCUUGAGUCCGGUAGGGGACCACGGAAUUCCUGGUGUAGCGGUGAAAUGCGCAGAUAUCAGGAAGAACACCCGUGGCGAAGGCGGCUCUCUGGGACGGUACUGACGCUGAGACGCGAAAGCGUGGGGAGCGAACAGG